UCCAACUUAUCGCUGGCGGUCUCCUGAGAGUGCUUCCCUUACGGGAGUGGCAACACAGGACAAGGGUUGCGCUCGUUGCGGGACUUAACCCAACAUCUCACGACACGAGCUGACGACAGCCAUGCACCACCUGUGAUGGUGUCCCGAAGGAAAACCGUGUUUCCACGGCGGUCACCAACAUGUCAAGCCCAGGUAAGGUUCUUCGCGUUGCGUCGAAUUAAACCGCAUGCUCCGCCGCUUGUGCGGGGAACCGUCAAUUCCUUUGAGUUUUAGCCUUGCGGCCGUACUCCCCAGGCGGGGCACUUAAUGCGUUAGCUGCGGCACGGGAGGAGUCGACACCUCCCACACCUAGUGCCCAUCGUUUACGGCGUGGACUAC
rnacentral:misc_RNA from 1 species